GAUGAACGCUGGCGGCGUGCCUAAUACAUGCAAGUCGAGCGAACAGACGAGGAGCUUGCUCCUCUGACGUUAGCGGCGGACGGGUGAGUAACACGUGGAUAACCUACCUAUAAGACUGGGAUAACUUCGGGAAACCGGAGCUAAUACCGGAUAAUAUAUUGAACCGCAUGGUUCAAUAGUGAAAGACGGUUUUGCUGUCACUUAUAGAUGGAUCCGCGCCGCAUUAGCUAGUUGGUAAGGUAACGGCUUACCAAGGCAACGAUGCGUAGCCGACCUGAGAGGGUGAUCGGCCACACUGGAACUGAGACACGGUCCAGACUCCUACGGGAGGCAGCAGUAGGGAAUCUUCCGCAAUGGGCGAAAGCCUGACGGAGCAACGCCGCGUGAGUGAUGAAGGUCUUCGGAUCGUAAAACUCUGUUAUUAGGGAAGAACAAAUGUGUAAGUAACUAUGCACGUCUUGACGCUACCUAAUCAGAAAGCCACGGCUAACUACGUG
rnacentral:rRNA from 1 species